rnacentral:rRNA from 1 species
AGAAUUGAUCUUGGUCAGAACGAACGCUGGCGGCGCGUUUAAGCAUGCAAGUCGAGCGGCAAGGGCCUUCGGGCCCCUAGAGCGGCGGACGGGUGAGUAACACGUGGACAAUCUGCCCCCCGGCCCGGGAUAGCCCAAGGAAACCUGGAUUAAUACCGGAUGAGACGGGACCUGCGAUGGCGGGAUCCGGGAAAGGCGCUACGGCGCCGCCGGGGGAUGAGUCUGCGUCCCAUUAGCUAGACGGCGGGGUAACGGCCCACCGUGGCGACGAUGGGUAGCCGGCCUGAGAGGGUGGACGGCCACAUUGGGACUGAGACACGGUCCAGACUCCUACGGGAGGCAGCAGCUAAGAAUCUUCCGCAAUGGGCGAAAGCCUGACGGAGCGACGCCCGCGUGAACGAAGAAGGCCGUGAGGUUGUAAAGUUCUUUUCGGGAGGGGGAACAACCGUGGCAGGGAAUGGCCGCGGGAUGACGUGAAUCCCGGAAUAAGCCCCGGCUAACUACGUGCCAGCCGCUGC